CACAAUACAAGGAACAUCAAAGGAGUCCUCCAGGCAGAAGGAAACAGAUUCCAGAUGAAAAUCCAGAUCUGCACAAGGAAAUGAAGAGCAUCGGAAAUGGAACUGCCUCUCCCUCUGUGAACAGUGUCUUUCUGCUACUGUACAUGAAGAUGUCCUGCCCUCCCUGCUCACGGAGAGUGCCUGAUCUGAGCUGGGCCAUCAUAUCCAGUACUUACCUGGAAUAGAAGACAGGCAGAAUGGCCAAAGACUACAUGAAUCUCUGAAGCUCAUCCACUUGAGAGAGAGUCCCGGAAGAUACUGGUCCUUCAUUCCUGCUGUGUAUAUCCAAUGUGACUGAGCUCUGAAGAAAAUGUACAAGUUAUAA